rnacentral:rRNA from 1 species
AGAGUUUGAUCCUGGCUCAGAACGAACGCUGGCGGCGUGCUUAACACAUGCAAGUCGAGCGAGAAAGUUUCUUCGGAAACAAGUAAAGCGGCGGACGAGUGAGUAAUACGUAAGAACCUACCCUUUUGUGAAGAAUACCUUCGAGAAAUCGAGGUUAAUACUGCAUAAGUCCCUACGGGGAGAAAGGCAACUUCAUGUUGUCGCUGAAGGAUGGGCUUGCGGGCUAUCAGCUAGUUGGUGAGGUAAUGGCUCACCAAGGCUAUGACGGCUAACCGGCCUGAGAGGGUGUACGGUCACGUUGGAACUGAGAUACGGUCCAAACUCCUACGGGAGGCAGCAGUGAGGAAUAUUGCGCAAUGGGCGAAAGCCUGACGCAGCGACGCCGCGUGGAGGAUGAAGGUCUUAGGAUCGUAAACUCCUGUCAAAUGGGAAGAAAGACCCAGGUAUAAGAUAUAUGGGGGAUGACGGUACCAUAAAGAAGC